CAUGCAAGUCGAGCGAGAAACCGCCCUUCGGGGCGGGAGUACAGCGGCGCACGGGUGAGUAGCGCGUGGGUAAUCUACCUCUGUCUGGGGGAUAACACACCGAAAGGUGUGCUAAUACCGCAUAAUCCGGCGGGCCUGCGGGUCGGUCGGCAAAGGUGGCCUCUUGAUCAAAGCUGCCGGGUGGAGAUGAGCCCGCGUCCCAUUAGCUUGUUGGUAGGGUAACGGCCUACCAAGGCGACGAUGGGUAGCUGGUCUGAGAGGACGGCCAGCCACACUGGAACUGGAACACGGUCCAGACUCCUACGGGAGGCAGCAGUGAGGAAUAUUGCGCAAUGGGGGAAACCCUGACGCAGCGAUGCCGCGUGGGUGAAGAAGGCUUUCGGGUCGUAAAGCCCUGUCAGGUGGGAAGAACAGCCUCUCAUUGAAUAGGUGAGAGGUGUGACGG
rnacentral:rRNA from 1 species